rnacentral:ncRNA from 1 species
AUAUAAAGCUAGGGGUGCCUAAGUUAUAGGCUGAGAGGAGAUUUAUCCGAUACCUAAGUGCUUCUAAAACUCCCACUUCUACUAAGUGGAAGAUAAAGAAGCACUAUGGUCCUGGAUUGGUUCUACUAAGUUUCAAUGGGAGAUAAAAAACUCCCCCUGAAACUAAGAACUCACUUUAUCUCCAACUCUUCAACCUGAUCUGGUUAAUACCAGCGUAGGGAAGCGGAUUUAGAUAGAU